AGAGUUGGAGUCAGUUGGCUGUGCUGCUGCGGUCAGGUGUUUGUGCUAGGGACAGGAAGGGUCAGUCUGUGCUGCUAGGGACAGGUAGAAGUCAGCCAGUUGUGUGGAAGAGAAAAGGAAUCAGUGCUGUGAGAGCUGCCUGUGAGAACUCGCACUGAUAGUUCCCAUUCACCGAAGCAGCAGAGAACCUGACUCUACAGCACAGCCUCCUGUGGCCUCUUCUGUGCACCUGGGAGCCAAGGAGCUUCUUUGUCUGUUACAUGGAUGUAUCGCUUGGAGUUUGUCAUGUUCCUGAAGGUCACAGUCUGAGGAGCUAUAAGAAGUGAUAAACAGGACCGAGCAUCUGCAGAGGAUUGAAGACACAACCUGGUGGCAGGACUGUACCUCUGCUGAAGGCCAUCCAAGCAGCCUGCUCCAUGUGGAGGGUGGAGGUUCCAUCUGCCUUCUACCAUCUCCAGACUGCUGUGACAGAUGCUGUUUCCCAGGGAGCAAAUCUUACUGCAUUGCCCUGGGUUCCAGAAGGCAGGUGUUGGAGGAGGCAGGAAAUCAAGCCAAUCUUACAGAGUUGUUGGAGGGAUGCAGAGAGAUUAUACUCAGCCAGAGGAGGAUGGCACCAGCACCCCUGCCCUGCUCAGGAGGUAUCUGCUCAUUGCUGAUGUGCACAGUUCUGCUUGGGGGCACUGUUUGCUUUUUCAGCUGGCCCUGAUUUUGAGGGUUCUGUUCUGCCCAAUAAAAUGUCUUGCUGCUGUCUGUUAUCCAGUAGCUCUGUGCUGAGCCUUCUGCCCUCCAUCACUCACCUUCUCAGAGGUUUAUUCCUGUGAUCCUGCAUAUUGCUUUUUUAAAUUAUUGUUUGUAUUUUUAAAGAGUUGAGGAUAGGUGUCAUCCCUAUUUAUAUCCAUGGAAACUGGAGCCAUGGGUUUUGAAUCAUUAAAUUUAUAUCUAGGCAGGACUGCUGUUGCGCUCACUGCCCACUGCAUACAGGCAUAUUGUUUCAUUUUGAGAGCUUGUGUUUACAGAAUACAGCAACUGAAAUCCUGGUUUAGAUUGUUCUUUACAGCCAAACUGCUGUGGUCUGAAUGCUGCAAGAGUUAACUUUCAGUGGAGCAUAUAGUGGUAUUAAGUUUCUUGUCCAAAUAUAACAAACUUGGUGCCUCUGCAGGUGAAAUUUUAUUUCUUUUGUGGCAGACAAGGUAGGAGCACACUAGAAUGGGAACAUGUGUAGGAAAAAAACAAUAUUUAACUCAAUCUCUUCCUUGAAUGAUAGCAAAACUGAGACUCUGUACAUACCUGAUACAGAAUAGUCAUCCUUUUUCAUUACAUGCCUUGCAUUCUUGCACUGGGUAUGUAUUCAAGCUUUGUGUGGGCAGAGGUGUAUUUGUCUGUAUUCUGUAAAUGAAGUUUUGUGAUCACAAGACAUAGCUUCUGUUUUCCACUAGAGGCCAAUGAAGCGCAGGACAAGGCUGCUGCAAGGCUUUCAGGGAAAACCCCAUCUUUUAUUCCCUUUCAGACCUGUUGCUGAACAGUGGUUUCUCCAUCUUCAUGAUUAUUUCUUCUUUUAGAAAUGGUUCUCCCUCUAAUGAAGCGGAGUUCAAUCACUGUUUUCCUCCCAGCAUUUUGUUCCCAAAACCUUCAGAAAGUUCAAGAAUUGGCAUCUUGAUUUGAUCAUAUGUGUUCCUUCCACGUUUUCAAUUCCUAGCUGUUAACUAUGUAGCAGCCUCCAUGGAAUAAAGGGCACAUCAAAAAGGCAAUGGAAAAGUGAAUAAUGCCAGUGCUUGGGACUUUUUAAAGAGUUUGAGGAAAUGGUACAUCUUGAGCUAUUACAUUUUACUGGGGAGCUUCCUAAAGUUUUUGCUUACAAGUGACCAAGCCAAUGACAUCCCAUUCCAGCUGAGGCACAUGGUAUUGUCCCUACUGUGACACCAUUCUGUCAGAGUGCCUUUGCCUCCUGACUCCUCAGGUCAUAUCUCAGUCCUAAGUAAUAACACUAGUCUUUUACAAAGUUUUUAAGAGGUCCAGAACAGCAAAAGCCCUCAAAUACGAGAGCUGGUGCUGCCAGCUCUGUGUCAGAGACAGAAGAAGCCAUCUGGGAUAAUGUUUAUUUGCCUAGGAGCUACCCCACGUUUUCUAUCUCAAGUUAAGUGAAGACUAAUGCUGCCUAAUGUGGUGGUUAAAGCCAGAAACAUUUACAGUAAGACAAAGGCACUGCUUGAGGCAUUAGCUUGGAAGAUGGUUUAGGAUUUUGUUGCUGCCUGGCAGGGAUGCUUUGUGGGUGGCACAUAUGUGUGUGCCCCUCUGGAUGCCACACUGCUGGGCCUGGUUUGAGCACUGUGCUUUGGCUGCUGAUCCUAAACCUGUGAGAUUUCUCUAGGGGUUAUAGGAAACAUGAUUUUAGAAAGAGUUGGGCUUCUCCUUUGGAAGGAUAUACUUGUAUGAAUAGGCUGCUAUGGUAGGAAGCAAAAGUAAGGUGGGAUAGCAGCUCGGAGGGCUGUCCGAGUUAGCGCUGAUCAUGUGGUGGCAUGGCUUAAUGCAGUCCUUUGAGCUAGGGCACGCUUAUGGCCCCCUCAAGAUUUACCAGCAUCUGCAAGCCCCUGACCCAGCCUAUGAGCCAGAAGGGCUUUGCUGCAGCCUUUCUAUGGUUAGAGAGGGGAGCUCAAGCCCAGGCAAAUGCUGCAUGAGAUAGGCUGUAACCCAUGAGGUGUCUCCCCCAACUUCAUUCGUCUGCUGUCUGAAAAGGAUUUCCCAGUGUGGCAGGAUGGGCUGUUUUGAAGUUUAUACCACAGAAUAUGGUAGCUGGCUCUUCCAGAAUAAAUGGUGUUUGCUAGGCAGGGGCCUCUGGAAACAGUCUCUGAGUUGCCAGUGGCUUCAGUGAAUAUUGAACACCUUACUGUCAACUGCAGAAAGCUGAUUUAUUACUAUUAUUUACUCCUCAUUAGCACUGAUGUAACACAGCAGGGAAUCGAGAGCAGCAGCAGCUUCCUGACCGUUAUCUGAUGCUGCUGAUGGCCAUGUGUGUGCUAUGCUAUGGUGUUAUGUUUGUGCAGGACCUGGGAUAAGUGGGGUAGCAGCUGGCAAAAAUGAGGAAAAAAAGGAAGAAAAGGGAAUCUAGCUUAGCUUUAUUUAUGCCCUGGUGCAAGUAGUGUCAGAAACACUCAUACGGUGUAUCACAUAAAUUGAAAAAUAAGUAGGAAGUGAGACUGACACAUCAGCCUUCAGUCUAAAAUAGUCUACAGCUAUUUUGCAAAAUGAGCAGUUUGAGUAUUACUGGUCACAUAUGCUGUUUAAUUUUCCUUGUUUUCCUGCCAUGCAUCUUUUCUUUCUUAGGUGGAUGUCAAAUAAAGUGUCAUUGGGAAUCAAUGUUAAAUACUCAGUGCUUCUUUUAAAAUAGAAUUACAGAAUCAUUAAGUUUGAAAAAGACCUCCAAGAUCAUUGACCUAGCAAACAGUACACCUGUCCAAGCCAUGACCAGCCAGGAGAAUGCUGUGUCCAAAGUUUUACUUGAACUCCAGGUAGACAACAUCCACAGCUUUUUCCUCAUCUACUAGUCAGGUUGCCUGGUCACAAAAGGAGAUCAUGUUGGUCAAGCAGGACCUGCCUUCCAUAACCUUGUGUUGGCUGGGCCAGAUCCCCUGGUUGUCUGGUCUGUGCUGUGUGAUGGUGCUCAAGACGAUGUCUGUAAACUUCCCCAGCGCUGAGGUCAGUCUGACAGACCUGUAGUUUCUGGAAUCCUCCUUUUUGCCCUUCUUGUAUGUGGGUGUCUUACUUGUUCACCUCCUGUUAGCUGGGGCCUCCCCGAUUAACCAGGGCAGCAGGUAAAGGAUGGGAAGUGGCUUGGUGAGCACUUUGUGUUCAGAUCUUCAUGAAAGAUUAGGACCUUAUGAUGCAAGGUGCUGUGCAAACAAAAACUCCAGAAUCUCUAUUCUACAGUGUUUAUAUUCUAACUGGCAAGGGGAACAUAAUUAUAAGUGUAAUUUUCCUUGAAACAGUGGAGUCACCCUUAUAAACCAAGUUAAUAUUAAUAAUUCUUCAUUUUCCGAAGAAUGGUGUUACAGGGUGACUGAAGCACUGUAAAGCAGGUGUGUAGACAAAAACAUGAGCCCCCAGUUUCUUGGUGGAGUUUCAAGACAAGCAGAUCUCUCUGCUGAGGUUUGCCACAUCAGAAAUGUUCAAUGAGAGAAGGGGCUUGGGGCAUUUUCCUAGAUGUAACUCCAAGGUGCUAUUUCCCUUGGCAGGUGACAGUACCUGCCUGCCCAGCUGUUUCACGCUCCUGUAAAAUGGGUGAUUUGGAAACUUGCACUUUAGCAACAGUGGAGGAAGAGCCUUGGGUUUGACAGAUGCUGAGCAGAGGCAGUGACUCUUGCAUCAUAUGUGAAGCACAAAUGGGGGAUACUUUUAGUGCUUCUUACUAUGUUAAAUUAGAGGAAUGUUCAGCCCUGCUUUUUGGUGCAGAUCUUAAUUCUAGACAUUGAUUUUGUCCAGGGAAUAAGUUCCUGCUCCUCACAGCAGGCUGACUUUGGGUGGAGCUGGCAGUCCUGUAGUCGUGCUCAGGCUAUGGCACAUGGAGGUGGGAGUUCUGUGUUUGGCCAAGGCAGAGAUGCUGGCAUCAAUCCUCUGCUGCCGUUCAACUCAAGCCAACAACUACAUGAGGGUGCACUUCAAGCUGCUCUGGCUGGGAAAAGUGCUAUUAGAUCAGUGCAUGUUGUAUUUUAUACUAAGCCUUUUAUGCCAUCCCCAAUAUCACAAGUCAGCAGGAUGCUUGCGAAUGAGCAGGAAUGUUUGAUCUGGGCCUGUAAUUUUGUUAACCGUUUCCCCUUAUAUUAAUUUACAUUUGGGUGAUUUUGUGAGAAACUAUAGCAGAAUUUAAUAACACUAAUAUUAAAAAACCAAUAUCAGGUCUGCAUAUUUCAAUCUGAUUAGCAGUUUUUCUCUUGAUUAAAUUAUGCAUUUUUAAUGCAAGCCCUUCAUUUGUCUGCAAUAACACGGCACUGUAAACCUCUGUGUAAAGCAAGCACAAUUCAGUGCCCUUUUUGCUCCUGCUGGUCCUGGAUGCAAAUUUCCUUGUUUCUCAGUAAUCUUUUCUCUGUAUCCAUCAUAGUGCUUGCCAUUGCUUGCCUAGAAUAAAAGGUCAUUGUAAAUCCU
rnacentral:lncRNA from 1 species